AGCGCUUUCGGCGCCAUUUUCGAGUGAUGCCUGAUCUCAUCAAUCUAGCGGGAGAGACAGGAUAACCUGUCCGAGAGUAUAGCGCCACUAUGACUCCGCCGGAAAAAUUACUUUAAAAAUCGCCAAAAAUUACUUGGAGCAAAGGGCAGUCGGCGGAGCUUCGCCAAGGCUGGCGCAGUCGGUUUUGACCUGUAGCAGAGAACCAAUUCUGGAGAACAGCCUCACUUCUUUGAUUGAAUACUUACAUAAUGCAUUGGAACAUGACAUGAGAUUAAGGUUUAAUAAUGAUAGAAUGAAGACCACAAUAAAAGAGACCUCUACUUAGCUCAGCAAUUCUUACCUUGUGGAUAAUUACUGUACCUUCCUCAUGGAAAAAGUUUUAUUUAAAGUGUUAUUUCUCAUUGAAUACUAUCAAAAAGGAAAAAAAAAUGACCUAAACUUUUGAGAUAGAUUUGGCUCUAGUAAGUAUUUAGUUAUAUCACUUGCAUAUCUGGGAGAAGAAAUAAGAGACUAUCAUCAGUACAUUCCCAUCUACUAAAAAAAUUUAUUUUACACAUGUCAAGGGAUUACUUAUAACUUCCAUUUUAUUACUAAUAGCUUGAACCCUUUUAAUGAAGACCUAACUCCUCCACCAGAAAUUUAAGUUUAUGUUCUUACUUUGUUUACUUAUAAAAUACAUCUCAGGUAUUUCGGAUGUCUUUUUUUUUUCUAAGCCUAUAUGAAAUGAAAAAUAUAUUGGCAAAAUAAAUGUUUAAACCUUUUACGUUAAAAUUACUUUGAAAGAUGAAAAGUUAGUGCUGUUUUUGUCUACGUUAUACUGAAAUUAAAUGUUUAUAAUUUAUAUUUUGGGUUUAUGUAUAAAUCAUGGAAUUUAUGCAAAAAUAUGAGUAGUACAGAUUCUCCUCUAAUUCUGUAGGACUUUGAAUAAUGUGAUAUUUUUCUUAUAAUUGGACCCUUGUGUUUUGAAGAAAUGCCAACUGCUUGAAGAAUCUCCUUGUUAUUUGUAUUAUUUGCUAUAGGGUUAGAUGUUGAGAAAUUCUGCUGACAAAAAAUUUUAAGCCAGUUUUACACUAAAUGUUCCUCAGUCUGAUUAAUUUGUUAUUGGAUGUAUUCUGUAUCUUUCUUUUGUAAUUUGUAACUUUUAUCCACUUAGCACGAAUGAUUCUAUUAAAGAAAAUCAUUAGGAAGUGGUAGAAACUUUAAAUCGCCCCAGAGUUUGCCUGUUUCCAUAUUUUAUUAUCUUAUAAUCUUCGGGAGUGCUUACACUUAUGGAGCUAACAUUUUCAGAGAUACAGCUUCUUAUAGUAACACUAAAACUUUCUUCCUCUUUGGACUGAAUACCUAUAAUUAUAACUAUAUGGUAGUUUAAGUUUCCUUGUGAUUAGUCAAAAAUACCAUUUUAGUAUGAAGCAAUGAAGUCUAUUAUUUGUUGUCCCAUAAUUGAGAAAGCUUAAAUACACCUUUUAUUAAGAGUUUGUAAAUUCUAGCUUAGUCUACACAGAUUUUUAUAUCAAUUUGUUUAUAUUUUUAUUAAUGUCAUUUCUGGAAGUGUGAAAAUGUUAAUGUUCAACAAGCAACAUUAAAAAUAGAUUUGAAACAUUUAUA
rnacentral:lncRNA from 10 species